ACUAACAGUUAGGAGCACUUAUCAGGGGCCAGGCAUGUUCUAAGUACUCUAUAGAUAUUCCUUCACUUAUUUAAGAAACAACACUAGACUAGAAGCCAAAAAGACCAGGAUUCUACUCCAAAUCCUGGUACUGAUUAACUGCAAAACUUGGAGGAAGUCACUUCUACCAAUCUGGAUCUCAGUUUCCACAGAUAUACAUUGAAGAGCUACUAGUCAACAUGUUGCAUAAUCCUGUCUAUCUGAAGAGAACCGAUAAGGAUUACAACCUUUAGCUGGAAAACACCAUGACUAUGUUCCAACCUUUAGUACUAAAGAAUCUGCACAGCACAACAGCCUAGGAAAUUUAGCUAUCGGACAGCUUGAUUGCUCCCUCACACCCCGCUUAAUAGAGCUUCUCAUUAAGUCACAAAAAUGAGAUCAUUCAGCAAAAGUCCUUCAGUAUGGCCCGUCCACUCAUGCUAAAGUGGUGUUGAAACAGAAGUCCGUGGGUUUGAGAGCAAAUAAAAGAUCUCAGCAGGGCAUGGAAGGAUGUAGUCCUUGUAGGGCACUCCAUCUAUGUAUUUUGGAGCAUAGAAGAGUUAAAGUUUCACACCUUCAUUCCAUAAGCUCUUCAACCGUGUUUUGCAGAGCAAAGCCUUGGCAACCGCCUGGAACUCACUGCUGACGCAGCUCCUACCUGCUCUCCACUCUCUGCUAUGGAGAGGAGCAUCCUGACCGAUUAUACUGGAGACUGGAGACCUACUGAUGUGCACCCUCAACAGUGUGACACAUUAGAAGACAACUACAACCGAUGUGCGUGGAGCCUGGUUCCUAGGAUUCUUCCUCACAAGCUGACUAUGCAACUCUGGUCUCUCACAUAUAAACCUGAUUCACUUAGGUGAUGGGCCCUUUCCUGUCCCCCACUUUCCUUUUACCAACUACUGGGAUAACCAAUGUAUGCAGAAGUCAGACUGCAGUGAGGCUGAAAAUACGCAUGGAAAAGGAAGUCAA